rnacentral:rRNA from 1 species
CAGUCGCCGCGGGAAUACGAAGGGGGCUAGCGUUGUUCGGAUUUACUGGGCGUAAAGCGCACGUAGGCGGACGCUUAAGUCAGGGGUGAAAUCCCGAGGCUCAACCUCGGAACUGCCUUUGAUACUGGGUGUCUUGAGUCCGGAAGAGGUGAGUGGAACUGCGAGUGUAGAGGUGAAAUUCGUAGAUAUUCGCAAGAACAUCAGUGGCGAAGGCGGCUCACUGGUCCGGAACUGACGCUGAGGUGCGAAAGCGUGGGGAGCAAACAGGAUUAGAGACCCCUGUAGUCCCUGUCUCUUAUAC